rnacentral:tRNA from 1 species
GUGUAGCUCAGCUGGAUAGAGCGACUGGCUACGGACCAGUAGGUCGUGGGUUCGAAUCCUGUCACG